rnacentral:misc_RNA from 1 species
UUCGACCUUGCCAUGCCCAUGUUCCUCAAGAUCGCCGAAUACCGUGCCGGCAUCGUCCCCGUCUCUUAUCGCCGGGUGCCAUGCAGAAAGGGAGGAGGAAUCAGGUUCACCAUCAACGGCUUCCGUUACUUCAACCUUGUAUUGAUCACCAACGUCGCAGGAGCAGGAGAUAUCGUGAAGGCGAGCGUAAAAGGAUCAAAGACUGGAUGGAUGAGCUUGAGUCGUAACUGGGGUCAAAAUUGGCAAUCAAAUGCUAUUUUGGUUGGUCAGUCACUCUCCUUCAGGGUCACAGGCAGUGAUAGACGUACCUCAACUUCCUGGAAUAUUGUCCCUUCAAAUUGGCAAUUUGGCCAAACUUUCACCGGGAAGAAUUUCAGGGUCUAAUUUAGUAAUUUUCCCUCCUAAUAUUUUCCCCUUUUUUUAAUUUUUGGAUUUCUGUUUCCUUUUUAUGGGAAAAGUUGAAAUGGGGAAAGUGCGUUAUUAAGCUUUUAAAAGAGGGUUCUUCCUUUUUUUUGUAUUUU